GGAGGGUGCAAGCGUUGCUCGGAAUUACUGGGCGUAAAGAGCGUGUAGGCGGUCUCGUAUGUCUGGCGUGAAAGCCCCGGGCUUACCCCGGGAAGUGCGUUGGAAACUGCGAGACUAGAGUCCCGGAGAGGAAGGUGGAAUUCCAGGUGUAGCGGUGAAAUGCGUAGAUAUCUGGAAGAACACCGGUGGCGAAGGCGGCCUUCUGGACGGUGACUGACGCUGAGACGCGAAAGCGUGGGGAGCAAACAGGAUUAGAUACCCUGGUAGUCCACGCCAUAAACGAUGGGCACUAGGUGUCGCGGGUAUUGACCCCCCUGCGGUGCCGCAGCUAACGCAUUAAGUGCCCCCGCCUGGGGACUACGGCCGCAAGGUUA
rnacentral:rRNA from 1 species